CGCGUAGGCGGGAUGGCAAGUCGGUCGUGAAAUCCUUCGGCUCAACCGAAGAACGUCGAUCGAUACUGCUGUUCUUGAGGGUUGCGGAGGAGACUGGAAUUCCCGGUGUAGCGGUGAAAUGUGUAGAGAUCGGGAGGAACACCGGUGGCGAAGGCGGGUCUCUGGGCAAUUCCUGACGCUGAGGCGCGAAAGCGUGGGGAGCAAACGG
rnacentral:rRNA from 1 species